GAUGAACGCUAGCGGGAGGCUUAACACAUGCAAGUCGAGGGGCAGCACGAGGUAGCAAUACUUUGGUGGCGACCGGCAGACGGGUGAGUAACGCGUAUGUAACCUACCCUGUACAGGGGGAUAACCCGGAGAAAUUCGGACUAAUAUCCCAUAAUAUUAUAAGAGGGCAUCUGAUUAUAAUUAAAGUUCCGGCGGUACGGGAUGGGCAUGCGUAACAUUAGCUAGUUGGUAAGGUAACGGCUUACCAAGGCUGUGAUGUUUAGGGGUCCUGAGAGGGUGGUCCCCCACACUGGUACUGAGACACGGACCAGACUCCUACGGGAGGCUG
rnacentral:rRNA from 1 species